GGGUUGUGAGGUUAAGCGACUAAGCGUACACGGUGGAUGCCCUGGCAGUCAGAGGCGAUGAAGGGCGUGCUAAUCUGCGAUAAGCGCCGGUAAGGUGAUAUGAACCGUUAUAACCGGCGAUACCCGAAUGGGGAAACCCAGUGUGAUUCGUCACACUAUCAUUAACUGAAUCCAUAGGUUAAUGAGGCGAACCGGGGGAACUGAAACAUCUAAGUACCCCGAGGAAAAGAAAUCAACCGAGAUUCCCCCAGUAGCGGCGAGCGAACGGGGAGGAGCCCAGAGCCUGAAUCAGCAUGUGUGUUAGUGGAAGCGUCUGGAAAGGCGCGCGAUACAGGGUGACAGCCCCGUACACAAAAGCGCAUGUGCUGUGAGCUCGAUGAGUAGGGCGGGACACGUGGUAUCCUGUCUGAAUAUGGGGGGACCAUCCUCCAAGGCUAAAUACUCCUGACUGACCGAUAGUGAACCAGUACCGUGAGGGAAAGGCGAAAAGAACCCCGGCGAGGGGAGUGAAAAAGAACCUGAAACCGUGUACGUACAAGCAGUGGGAGCACAGGUUUACCUGUGUGACUGCGUACCUUUUGUAUAAUGGGUCAGCGACUUAUAUUCUGUAGCAAGGUUAACCGAAUAGGGGAGCCGGAGGGAAACCGAGUCUUAACCGGGCGUUAAGUUGCAGGGUAUAGACCCGAAACCCGGUGAUCUAGCCAUGGGCAGGUUGAAGGUUGGGUAACACUAACUGGAGGACCGAACCGACUAAUGUUGAAAAAUUAGCGGAUGACCUGUGGCUGGGGGUGAAAGGCCAAUCAAACCGGGAGAUAGCUGGUUCUCCCCGAAAGCUAUUUAGGUAGCGCCUCGUGAAUUCAUCUCCGGGGGUAGAGCACUGUUUCGGCUAGGGGGCCAUCCCGGCUUACCAACCCGAUGCAAACUGCGAAUACCGGAGAAUGUUAUCACGGGAGACACACGGCGGGUGCUAACGUCCGUCGUGAAGAGGGAAACAACCCAGACCGCCAGCUAAGGUCCCAAAGUCAUGGUUAAGUGGGAAACGAUGUGGGAAGGCCCAGACAGCCAGGAUGUUGGCUUAGAAGCAGCCAUCAUUUAAAGAAAGCGUAAUAGCUCACUGGUCGAGUCGGCCUGCGCGGAAGAUGUAACGGGGCUAAACCAUGCACCGAAGCUGCGGCAGCGACGCUUAUGCGUUGUUGGGUAGGGGAGCGUUCUGUAAGCCUGUGAAGGUGGCCUGUGAGGGUUGCUGGAGGUAUCAGAAGUGCGAAUGCUGACAUAAGUAACGAUAAAGCGGGUGAAAAGCCCGCUCGCCGGAAGACCAAGGGUUCCUGUCCAACGUUAAUCGGGGCAGGGUGAGUCGACCCCUAAGGCGAGGCCGAAAGGCGUAGUCGAUGGGAAACGGGUUAAUAUUCCCGUACUUGGUGUUACUGCGAAGGGGGGACGGAGAAGGCUAUGUUGGCCGGGCGACGGUUGUCCCGGUUUAAGCGUGUAGGUGUGUGUUCCAGGUAAAUCCGGUUCACUUUAACACUGAGGCGUGAUGACGAGGCACUACGGUGCUGAAGUAACAAAUGCCCUGCUUCCAGGAAAAGCCUCUAAGCAUCAGGUAACAUCAAAUCGUACCCCAAACCGACACAGGUGGUCAGGUAGAGAAUACCAAGGCGCUUGAGAGAACUCGGGUGAAGGAACUAGGCAAAAUGGUGCCGUAACUUCGGGAGAAGGCACGCUGACACGUAGGUGAAGUGAUUUACUCAUGGAGCUGAAGUCAGUCGAAGAUACCAGCUGGCUGCAACUGUUUAUUAAAAACACAGCACUGUGCAAACACGAAAGUGGACGUAUACGGUGUGACGCCUGCCCGGUGCCGGAAGGUUAAUUGAUGGGGUCAGCGCAAGCGAAGCUCCUGAUCGAAGCCCCGGUAAACGGCGGCCGUAACUAUAACGGUCCUAAGGUAGCGAAAUUCCUUGUCGGGUAAGUUCCGACCUGCACGAAUGGCGUAAUGAUGGCCAGGCUGUCUCCACCCGAGACUCAGUGAAAUUGAACUCGCUGUGAAGAUGCAGUGUACCCGCGGCAAGACGGAAAGACCCCGUGAACCUUUACUAUAGCUUGACACUGAACAUUGAGCCUUGAUGUGUAGGAUAGGUGGGAGGCUUUGAAGCGUGGACGCCAGUCUGCGUGGAGCCGACCUUGAAAUACCACCCUUUAAUGUUUGAUGUUCUAACGUGGACCCGUGAUCCGGGUUGCGGACAGUGUCUGGUGGGUAGUUUGACUGGGGCGGUCUCCUCCUAAAGAGUAACGGAGGAGCACGAAGGUUGGCUAAUCCUGGUCGGACAUCAGGAGGUUAGUGCAAUGGCAUAAGCCAGCUUGACUGCGAGCGUGACGGCGCGAGCAGGUGCGAAAGCAGGUCAUAGUGAUCCGGUGGUUCUGAAUGGAAGGGCCAUCGCUCAACGGAUAAAAGGUACUCCGGGGAUAACAGGCUGAUACCGCCCAAGAGUUCAUAUCGACGGCGGUGUUUGGCACCUCGAUGUCGGCUCAUCACAUCCUGGGGCUGAAGUAGGUCCCAAGGGUAUGGCUGUUCGCCAUUUAAAGUGGUACGCGAGCUGGGUUUAGAACGUCGUGAGACAGUUCGGUCCCUAUCUGCCGUGGGCGCUGGAGAACUGAGGGGGGCUGCUCCUAGUACGAGAGGACCGGAGUGGACGCAUCACUGGUGUUCGGGUUGUCAUGCCAAUGGCACUGCCCGGUAGCUAAAUGCGGAAGAGAUAAGUGCUGAAAGCAUCUAAGCACGAAACUUGCCCCGAGAUGAGUUCUCCCUGAGACUU
rnacentral:rRNA from 1 species